rnacentral:rRNA from 1 species
AUACGGAGGAUGCAAGCGUUAUCCGGAUUUAUUGGGUUUAAAGGGUGCGUAGGCUGUUCGGAAAGUCAGGGGUGAAAGCCCGGCGCCUAACGCCGGAACUGCCUUUGAUACUUCCGAGCUGGAAUACGGAUGCCGUGGGAGGACUGAGUAGUGUAGCGGUGAAAUGCAUAGAUAUUACUCAGAACACCGAUUGCGAAGGCAUCUCACGAAUCCGUCAUUGACGCUGAGGCACGAAAGCGUGGGGAUCAAACAGGAUUAGAUACCCUGGUAGUCCACGCAGUAAACGAUGAUGACUAACCGUCGGCGAUACACAGUCGGUGGCCAAGCGAAAGCGAUAAGUCAUCCACCUGGGGAGUACGUUCGCAAGAAUGAAACUCAAAUGAAUUGACGG